rnacentral:rRNA from 1 species
CCUACGGGUGGCAGCAGUGAGGAAUAUUGGUCAAUGGACGAGAGUCUGAACCAGCCAAGUAGUGUGAAGGAUGACUGCCCUAUGGGUUGUAAACUUCUUUUAUAUGGGAAUAAAACGUUCCACGUGUGGGAUUUUGUAUGUACCAUAUGAAUAAGGAUCGGCUAACUCCGUGCCAGCAGCCGCGGUAAUACGGAGGAUCCGAGCGUUAUCCGGAUUUAUUGGGUUUAAAGGGAGCGUAGGUGGAUUGUUAAGUCAGUUGUGAAAGUUUGCGGCUCAACCGUAAAAUUGCAGUUGAAACUGGCAGUCUUGAGUACAGUAGAGGUGGGCGGAAUUCGUGGUGUAGCGGUGAAAUGCUUAGAUAUCACGAAGAACUCCGAUUGCGAAGGCAGUUCACUGGACUGCAACUGACACUGAGGCUCGAAAGUGUGGGUAUCAAACAGGAUUAGAUACCCCAGUAGUC